ACUCCCUACGGAGCGCUCAGGUCCGCCGCAUCUCCUGGGUCCGUGGGGUUGGCCGGCGAGUAAACGGGUUCUGAGUGGCCUCCUCGUGUCAUCCGGUUCUCGCCGGCCACCAA
rnacentral:sRNA from 18 species